CCUAUGAAAGUGGUGUUAACCUCUUUGAUACUGCCGAAGUCUAUGCUGCUGGAAAGGCUGAAGUGAUUCUGGGGAGCAUCAUCAAGAAGAAAGGCUGGAGGAAGUAACUUGACAUGAAGCUGAUUAUCCCCACACACAUGCAUUUAUGUUUGCUGUUUAUUUUAUUAGCUCUGGAUGCAAAGAAAUGAUGAAACAAGAAGACUUUGGGAUAAAUACCCCAAAGCUUUCUUAUCUGAACACAUUUAGUCAGCAUCUCUCCUGUGUGCCCAGGAACCCUGUUAUCUGGCUAUUCAGAACAGUGCUUCAUCUGCUAUCCUUGAGAAACAUAAGGGGCUGUGCUUACACAUCCUUUUCCAUCAUCUUCUGUAGCCGAAGAUAUAGUGGUAAUAAGGGAAGCUAUAACAUCUAUGGGCAGUGGGGAGGUAAUACUUCCCCAUUUCACUAUAGAUUUCAGCCCCAA
rnacentral:sRNA from 1 species